rnacentral:rRNA from 1 species
UACAGAGGGUGCAAGCGUUGUUCGGAAUUAUUGGGCGUAAAGCGCGUGUAGGCGGCAUGGCAAGUCGGGUGUGAAAGCCCUCAGCUUAACUGAGGAAGUGCGCCCGAAACUGCCGUGCUUGAGUGCCGGAGAGGGUGGCGGAAUUCCCGGUGUAGAGGUGAAAUUCGUAGAUAUCGGGAGGAACACCAGUGGCGAAGGCGGCGACCUGGACGGACACUGACGCUGAGGUGCGAAAGCGUGGGGAGCAAACAGGG